rnacentral:rRNA from 1 species
UGGAUAUGUUAAUAGCAUAUUCAUUUGACGUUAGCUGCAGAAGAAGCACCGGCUAACUCCGUGCCAGCAGCCGCGGUAAUACGGAGGGUGCGAGCGUUAAUCGGAAUUACUGGGCGUAAAGCGCAUGCAGGUGGUUUGUUAAGUCAGAUGUGAAAGCCCGGGGCUCAACCUCGGAAUUGCAUUUGAAAACUGGCAAACUAGAGUACUGUAGAGGGGGUAGGAAUUUCAGGUGUAGCGGUGAAAUGCGUAGAGAUCUGAAGGAAUACCGGUGGCGAAGGCGGCCCCCUGGACCAGAUACUGACACUCAGAUGCGAAAGCGUGGGGAGCAAACAGGAUUAGAUACCCUGGUAG